GCUGAUCCAUGGACGUUGGGCCAUGGCUGCUGUCGUCGGCAUCUUCGUCGGCCAAGCUUGGAGUGGCAUUCCAUGGUUCGAGGCAGGAGCUGACCCAGGUGCGAUAGCUCCAUUCUCUUUCGGCUCACUCCUUGGUACUCAGCUCAUCCUUAUGGGUUGGGUUGAAAGCAAGCGGUGGGUUGAUUUCUUCAACCCCCAAUCACAAUCAGUGGAAUGGGCAACUCCAUGGUCUAAGACCGCUCAGAACUUCGCCAACGCUACAGGUGAGCAAGGGUACCCAGGAGGCAAGUUCUUUGACCCAUUGGGGCUAGCAGGAACCAUCCAGAAUGGGGUCUACGUCCCUGAUAUUGACAAGCUCGAGAGACUUAAGC
rnacentral:lncRNA from 1 species